AGUCCGGAGCAGACUUAACCUAGAAUUCCAACACACUGAUCUUCAGAAGGAAAAGCUUCUGCAAAAAGGUAUUCAGGAACAAAGGACUUUGAAACAGUUCAAGUGAAACACUGGAACUAAUGAAGCACUGCACAGGUUGCCCAGAGAGGUGGUGGAUGCUCCAUCACUGUAGACAUCCAAGGUGUCUCAGAAAGUUAAGAGUGCUGCACUGACUUUUUCUGGCAUUCUACUCAAAUCUGCAAACUUGGACAAAUCAUUCUCCGCAGUCACUUCCAUGGCCAAAUUUCCCAUGUGCAGGCUCAGAGAAGCAGUAAAGGCACACAGCCUUUACGUUCCGGUGCCUUUUGGACUGCCCCAUACCUUACCUCUUACC